UAGGGAAUCUUCCACAAUGGGCGAAAGCCUGAUGGAGCAACGCCGCGUGUGUGAUGAAGGCUUUAGGGUCGUAAAGCACUGUUGUAUGGGAAGAAAUGCUAGAAUAGGGAAUGAUUCUAGUUCGACGGUACCAUACCAGAAAGGGACGGCUAAAUACGUGCCAGCAGCCGCGGUAAUACGUAUGUCCCGAGCGUUAUCCGGAUUUAUUGGGCGUAAAGCGAGCGCAGACGGUUGAUUAAGUCUGAUGUGAAAGCCCGGAGCUCAACUCCGGAAUGGCAUUGGAAACUGGUUAACUUGAGUGUUGUAGAGGUAAGUGGAACUCCAUGUGUAGCGGUGGAAUGCGUAGAUAUAUGGAAGAACACCAGUGGCGAAGGCGGCUUACUGGACAACAACUGACGUUGAGGCUCGAAAGUGUGGGUAGCAAACAGGAUUAGAUACCCUGGUAGUCCACACCGUNNCGAUGAAUACUAGGUGUUAGGAGGUUUCCGCCUCUUAGUGNCGAAGCUAACGCAUUAANUAUUCCNCCUGGGGAGUACGACCGCAAGGU
rnacentral:rRNA from 1 species